rnacentral:misc_RNA from 1 species
GAUGAAGAACGUAGCGAAAUGCGAUACUUGGUGUGAAUUGCAGAAUCCCGUGAACCAUCGAGUCUUUGAACGCAAGUUGUGCCCGAAGCCACUAGGCCGAGGGCACGCCUGCCUGGGUGUCACACGUCGUUGCCCCCCCCCCAUCUACUCCUUCGGGAUUGCGGGGGGCGGAUGAUGGCCUCCCGUGCGCCUAGCCGCGCGGUUGGCAUAAAUACCAAGUCCUCGGCGACGCACGCCACGACAAUCGGUGGUUGCGAAACCUCGGUUGCCCGUCGUGUGCGUUCGUCGCGCAUCGAGGGCUCGAAAAAAUGCUCGGCUCCGGCUCGGCUUUCAACGCGACCCCAGGUCAGGCGGGGUUACCCGCUGAAUUUAAGCAUAUCAUAAGCGGAGGA